UACAGAGGGUGCGAGCGUUAAUCGGAGUUACUGGGCGUAAAGGGCGCGUAGGCGGUGAGAUGUGUGUGAUGUGAAAGCCCCGGGCUUAACCUGGGAAGUGCAUCGCAAACUGUUUGACUAGAGUAGAUGAGAGGGUGAUGGAAUUUCCGGUGUAGCGGUGAAAUGCGUAGAGAUCGGAAGGAACGUCAAUGGCGAAGGCAGUCACCUGGCAUAAUACUGACGCUGAGGCGCGAGAGCGUGGGGAGCGAACAGG
rnacentral:rRNA from 1 species